rnacentral:rRNA from 1 species
GAUGAACGCUCGCGGCAGGCCUAAUACAUGCAAGUCGAACGGGAUCCAGAUCAAAGCUUGCUUUGGUCUGGUGAGAGUGGCGCACGGGUGCGUAACGCGUGAGCAACCUACCCUUGUCAGGGGGAUAGCCCGGCGAAAGUCGGAUUAAUACCGCAUGACAUCAUUGAGAGGCAUCUUUCGAUGAUCAAAGAUUUAUCGGACAAGGAUGGGCUCGCGUGACAUUAGCUAGUUGGUAAGGUAACGGCUUACCAAGGCUGCGAUGUCUAGGGGAUCUGAGAGGAGAAUCCCCCAAAAUGGUACUGAGACACGGACCAGACUCCUACGGGAGGCAGCAGAAAGGAAUAUUGGGCAAUGGACGGAAGUCUAACCCAGCCAUGCCGCGUGCAGGAAGACGGCCCUAUGGAUUGUAAACUGCUUUUAUACGGGAACAAACGUCGGUACGUGUACCGGUCUGAGUGUACCGUAAGAAUAAGGAUCGGCUAACUCCGUG